CUCCGGGUAACAGAGGGGCAGAAAAGGAUGAAGAUCACCUCCUUGGUAAACAUCCACAACGGCUGGGAGGAGGCAUAAACAGAAGCCACAUGUGGACCGGAGCAGUGUUACCUGUCAUAGACAGUGGAGGUUUCACCGAUGAAACUUGCAGCAUGUUGCAAAGGCAGCCAAGAAGGAACUUUAAUGGUUCUCCUGGAACUUUUUCAAAAGACACUCCCAUUGACUGCAUGGGACAUUAUAUAAGGUCCCAGAAGCCAGAAGCAAUUUCCAGGGAGUUAUAAGGUCUAGGCUGUAGGCAUCACAUUUGGAUCAGGAGGAAGAAAUGAGUAUUUCAUGUAUCAAUACAAAGAACAAUGAGAAAGAGUCAAGAGUUGGGGUAAUAACUGCUAGCAGACAGCUGAGAUCCACUGAAGUAUGGAAACAGUUAAAAAGAAUUACAGUAUCAAAGCAUAAUUUUUAACUUUGGAAAUUCAGCUCAAGUAUGUCUAUAGUGUCAUUUGUCCUGAAGACUUCAAUUCCUGUGCUGUAUUACAGAGUGCUAGUAUCUCUAGCAAAGGGAUCUAUUACUGAACUGUAGGCAUUUCUAGGGUCAAAAACAACAAAUGUUUCACAGUGUGUAACGGAAGUUCACAAAAGUGUAAGAAUUUACAAUAGAGUAACAGAGCAUUUGAUGCAUUAGGAAGGAUGUAAAAAAGCAUAGCAUAACAAGCCAAACUGCAUUUUUGUCAUGUCCUUGCCUUUAAGAUAUAUGAUUUUGAAAAAACUGCUAUUAAGUCUUAUUAAUAAGAAGCACUCAGGCCUUUUUCUGGCUUUGUACUUCCAUAAGAAAUGAAUACACCAGUCCCAUGGAAACAAUAUUAUUACUGCACUGAGGGCUAAUACACAAAUUUUGCAGCUCUUCUAGACCUAUCACCUUGUGAUGAGAAGCUGUCAAAUGAGAAAUGUAAUAAUAGUUACAGGAGGCAUUGAAUAGGAACAAUAUUAAUGAUGAACGCUUUCAUAAAGGAAAGACCCACACCCUCUUUCAUAGUAACAAAAUCUUUUUGAGAAAAGCCCACAUACAUUUUAGAGGUAGUUGCUUUACUGAUUUUUGCAAGCCAAAAUUUUCUAUCAGUACACACCUACUUGAUAAUACCCUUUAGGUUAAUUAAGAGAAGGUUUCUUUUUAGUUCAUAUGUCUUUUAAAAUGGAAUAAACAACAAUCUAUUCCCUUGGGAGAAAAAAAAAAUGCAAAUCCUGCCAGCUGGUCUGUAAUAUGAAAGUGCUUUACAUGGUGUAUUUUCACAGCUGUCUUAUCAGUUUCCUAAAAUGAAUCAGGGUGGAGCAAGCAGUUUAGGAAUGUCAUGAAAAAAGGAUUUGGAGCUUUGCUGUGGCUCCAUGAUAACAAUGCCCCUUUGGGACAGUCUCUCAGUCAGAAGAUUCUAUGGGAGAUACAGAUAAUGCCUUUAAAAUAUUCUCCCACAAAAUUCAGUGGCUACUACAUCUAAAUGAUGGAGGCCUUCUGGUUACAUGGACAAACUCUUCACUCCUUACAGUAGUUUAACUUGGAGCAAUUUUCAGACAUGAGGCACCUCCAAUCUGCUCUGAGAUUCAGUUUUGCAAAAUGUGGAAGUUUCUUCCAUUGCAAUUCAUCUCACUGGGAGCUGAGGGAUCUCAGAACUUUGUGGAUCUGAAUGUUUGAUAGAUUUUAGUUCAGUUUGUCAGCUCCAAUUAAACCAAUUGGUGAUGGUCAGCCUUUUACCCACAGUGACAAAACCCCGUUUCAAUUGAUUCAGUAUCAUAUACUAAGGAAUACUAAUAUAGGCUAGCAAGCCUUUCAGUACUGUUAUGCCUGGAAAGAAUUACUGUGCUUUUCCUCUUCCAUCAAUGUUGCUAUUCAGUUAACAAAAUACCUCUUCAGACCGCUGUUCUCAUAUAGCAUUUUAAUUUUGACGUAUGCAAGCAGUAAGAAAAUGCUUUAUUUAUAAUAGGAGUUGAAUGGGAAACAGUCUGAUAUGUUCUAUGAAAAGAAUCUGAUAUGUUCUCUUAACACUUUUAUGGGCUUAGGGAGUAUAUGGGACUACUUUAGCAGUUACACUAAAUACCAUUUGUUCCAUCAUCAUGAAGAGUUACACUGUAUUUAGCAGAAACAGACUGAGUGAACCAAAACUACUUACUUUCAUAAAAAUGGUUUUGACCAAAACUGUUCUCUUAAAUACAGCAUACUGAAUGUACAAACUUCUGAACAGGAUGCAUUAAGUUGCUAUACUUACUGACUUGCAAAAUACUUAUCACUGCUUUAGUAUUUGGUAUUUUCCCUCAGGUGUCACAAGUUUGUUUAAUUGUGAAGGUGAGCAAUGUUAUCUUCCUAAUAGAUACCAGAGUGUCAGCUGCCAACAGUUUCUGUGGCUCACAAAAAAAUAUUCAGAAGCACAUACAUAAUUUAGUUCAACUUUACAGUGUUUUAAUGGUAAGGUUUGUGAUUAUCUGGGAGAGAUUUUUAGAGUUAAGCUUCCAUUUAUCUGCAGAUUUUAAGACAAGCUAAUAUAGAAAAUAAUAAUUUGCAACAGGUCUUGAGCUUUAUUUUACUCUGUGUGCAAAAUGUUAUUGUUCUGAUUCAUGUUACAUGUAUUUUCAUAGGUCCACUAUGAAUUUAAUUAUGAAUCUCUGUGAGGUAAAGUUUUGAGUAUGUGACCCUUGUACCAACAAACUUUCUCUGAAUUCUGCUGAUGUAGCACAAGAUACAAAAAUUAAAAAAAGCUUCUCUAAUUUUUCCAAGUAUUAUAUCAGUUCUAUCAAUGAAUCUUGUCUUACCAGUGUGUUUAGAGCAUGUCAAAUGUAGUUUUCAGAUAGUCUCAGUAUUAUCUUUAUCUUUGUUCAGGACUAUAUACAUCACAUGUAAUCCAAAACAAUUGCAGUAGCCACUGAACGCAUCCUAUAAAUAACUGUACCAAAGCUGUAGAAAAUUCUGUAAAGCUUUUCCUACCCUAAAUGAACAUCUGCCUGAUUGCCAGUUGCAGUCAUUAAAAAUGAUCUCUUGAACUCUUAAAAAAACGGAGCUAAGUUGGUCCUGGCAUAAUUGAAUGGGGAAAUACCAGGAAGUUAGUAUUCUAGUUUGGUCUAGCAUAUGGACAAAUUCUAGUAUCUUCUGUCUACAGAAGUUAUACUAAUUCUCUAACAUUAACAAAGCAGAAGAUACAAUUUUGUUUACUUAUUUUAUUUUUUGUGCAGCUGAGUGCUGUUCCCUCUCUAAGUGUGCCUCGGUGUGCCAGAGGUGUACUUUUUCAGUCAAGAUGUUAUCUUGAUCACAUGCAAUCGUUAAAGCUCCCAUAGUGCCUCUCAGCAGGAAAAUACCAAGAUUAGUACUGUUGACAAAUUAAGAUCUGCAUAAAUACUUCCUGUCUUUCAAAAUUCCAAUUACAGUUUGACAUACAGUAUUCUUCUCUUAAUAAUGGAUGUUUUCUGUUAAAUAAAAAAAAAAAAUCUGCAGUGAGGCAUGUGCAUUUUGUUGCUGGAUGAAGGAAUCUCAGUUAUCUGCUUCCCUACCUCAAAUACCUGUUUUGAAAAAUUAAAAUUGAGAGAGCAUCAGGCAAUGUUUGAAAUGUUUGGGGUUAGGGAGGAAACACUGGCUAGCCAGGGGACCUAAUUAUGCUACUUGAAAGCACUCUUUGUUUGUCUGGUGCUACCAAAACAACAGUUUAUUACACAUUAUAUAACACUCUUCAUUUCACGAUGUCACUUGUUGCACUGCUAUUCUCCCUGAAAAUUUCUUGAGGACAACAGGCGAGGCCUUCACUGUGCAGGAUCUCUUACC